CCAAAGCCUCUUUCCCCUCCCCCCUUCCUUCCCACUCUGAUCUAGUGCUUGCCGCCAGCCAGCAACGAUUCCCAACACCAGUUGUCGGCAUUCACCUUUGAUUUUCCUCCUUUUCGCCUUUCGUUGUCGAAAUUUGUACUGCACCAAUCAAUGAUGGUGUUUAUCUUCCUCUCUCGAAGGCAGCUCGCUGUUGCAUCAGUUAGUGUUCCUUUGUUUGAGAUAUUCCUUACAAAGAAGUGAUGUCGAUAGAGUUAGAAGAAUUUAAUGAUGACUUCCUUUGUAGUGUAUUAGAUUAUCUUGUGGGUUGUAAAUCUAAGGCCAAAGUUUUUUUAGCUAAAAGUACGAAGCAUAGAAAAUUUUGACUUCAAAAAUUUUCUCAAUGUUGAAGAUAUUGAUGCUUUAAUAUGGUGUAGUACUAAUUAUGUUGUGUAAUACUAGUUAUGCACUUGGAAAAUAUUGUAGUUAUCAUGUGAUAUAUACUACUAAUUAUGUGCUUGGAUAAUA